rnacentral:hammerhead_ribozyme from 1 species
GUACUGCUGAAGAGUCCUAAAUCAGGACGAGACAGCUGUCCGAUAC